GAUGAACGCUGGCGGCGUGCCUAAUACAUGCAAGUCGAGCGAACAGAUGAGGAGCUUGCUCCUCUGACGUUAGCGGCGGACGGGUGAGUAACACGUGGAUAACCUACCUAUAAGACUUGGAUAACUUCGGGAAACCGGAGCUAAUACCGGAUAAUAUAUUGAACCGCAUGGUUCAAUAGUGAAAUACGGUUUUGCUGUCACUUAUAGAUGGAUCCGCUCCGCAUUAGCUAGUUGGUAAGGUAACGGCUUACCAAGGCAACGAUGCGUAGCCGACCUGAGAGGGUGAUCGGCCACACUGGAACUGAGACACGGUCCAGACUCCUACGGGAGGCAGCAGUAGGGAAUCUUCCGCAAUGGGCGAAAGCAUGACGGAGCAACGCCGCGUGAGUGAUGAAGGUCUUCGGAUCGUAAAACUCUGUUAUUAGGGAAGAACAAAUGUGUAAGUAAAUAUGCACGUCUUGACGGUACCUAAUCAGAAAGCCACGGCUAACUACGUG
rnacentral:rRNA from 1 species